CUGCAGGGCGGCGUGAAGGCGGGGGCGGAGGCGGUGGUAGCGGCGGCGAUCGAGGUGAGGAGGCGGGGCUUCGAGAGGGGGCGGGACCGAGCCGGAGGCGGCCGCGGCCGCGGCCGCGGCGGGGGCCUCAGCGGCUUUAGGUGUCACUACCAACCCACUCCGGCCGGAAACAGGCGCCAGUUUCCGGCCGGACGGUUGAGGAGUGGCCGCUCCAGGGCCAGCCGCCGGAGUCGAAGUCGGUACCGGGCUCGGAGAGCGCAGGGAGGCGUCGGUAGUGACAAGCCGGGACUAGCCCAAAAUUUUCUUCAAUAUUUGGCUCAGACUGAUAACCAGCUAAGAUUGGGUAAGCACCUAUGUGCCAGGAACUGCGCUAGUCGUGAGAUACAAGGUAAUCAAGUAUAUUUACAUUUCUUUCCAAACAUAUAAAGUGUCCUAGUUGUCUGGUCAACAUUAAGAAAACCAGGGAUCAAAGUGUGGCAACAAUUUAACAUUUGUUGAGAAGAGAUGGAAAUCUUUUUCAGUGCAGCCUCACUUUCAGGACUAUAGUCCUGAAUAAUCCGUGACCCCCCUGGGAUUUUGCAGGCCCUAAUCACUACUUGUUUAGACAAUUAUAAUAGGUUCUUAAUUGUCCUCUGCUCCCAGUCUCACCCCUCUACAAAAUAAUAGGCCUUGUGCACAAGUCUGACAUACCAUGUUGCUUCCCUCCUCAAUAACCAUCUGUGGCUUCCUGUUGCCUCAGGGACAAAAUAUGAAUUCCUCAGCCUCCUAUUUAAGGCCCUAUAAAAUUUGACUCCACUUUACUUUUCUACCUUUUUUCUGUAAUAUUUCUCUUCCUGCAUUGUACUUUUUAGCCAAUCUGAACUACUAGCUAUUCUGAAAUAGACUUGCCAUCUCUUGUCUGGCUUCUUUUGUACAGGUUAUUCACCCUGCCUGGAAUGCACGUACCUUGUCUCUAUCUUCUAGACUCUUAUCUCCAUUCUGACUUUGCCCAGGGACUGUCUCCUAUACAAAGUCUUCCUAGAACCCUUUAGUUGUGAUUAGCUUGUUUAUUUCUCUGUGUAUUUCUAUCCUCCAGUAGAAUGUUAGCUCCUUGAAGGCAGGGGCUGUUUGGUUUUAUCUUUGUAUCCCUAGUGCCUGGUGAAGUUCCUCAUAUAUAAUAAUAAUUGAAUUUUCUCCCUUGCACUGUUUUGUGCCAGUUUAGAUCAGUCUCCCCAUCCUUCUUUAUGAACACAACCUUAAAAAAUACUUUUAUUUGGGAAUAAUCUUCCCAUCUACUUUGGUUGAACCAGUAAAGAGGGGUUAAUGAAUUAAUCCUAUCCUGAUUUAAAAUUCAAUUCAGCAAAUGUUUGAGUGCCUUAUGUGUGUAGUACUACCUCAUUUGUACAGCAUUUUCAGGUUUAUAAUGCAUAUAUGUAUUUAUAAUCCUAUGAUGUAGGUUGUAUAAGAAUUAUUAUGCUCUUACAGGGAGCUCUGAGAAGUUAAGUAAUUUGCUAGCAGUCAUAUGGCCAAAAAAGUGACUGAUUUGGUUUCAUGCCUCUGAAUCUAAUGCUCUUUCUACAGUGCCAGUGCUGCCUCUUCACAGUGCUCUGUCCUGGGCUUUACACAGAUGAAUUGGCAGGGAAUCUGCUCUUAAAGUGUGUAUUAUCUAACAGGUGAGAUAAAAUACAAACAAAUAACUAAAACUGCUGAAUGUGAUUACAGUACUAUAGAUGUACAAAUAGAGAUAUUUUGGAAGUAGAGUAAGGAGAGGUUGCUUCCUUCUGGAGGAAUCCAGGAUGGCUUCAGUGGAGGAAGUGGCAUUCAAGCUGGACCUUGAAUGCUGGUACAGUACGUGUAGGGCAGAGGGCUGGAGGGGGAGAGAGCUAGAGGGGGAGGAGAGUGCUGAAGUAUUCCAGGCACAGUAGAGCAGACUCUGGGGUGUGAACAAAGACCCGGAGUACAGGAAGUGCAAGGUGUGUUUGAGGAACAGCUUGUUUUGUUUUUACUGGAUCAUGGGGUACUUAAAAAGGGAAAGGUAAGAGAAAAAGCUGGAAAAGUAAGUUGGAUCCAGAGCUUUGGGGGUGUCCGUCUAAAAAUUUAGACUAUUAUAUAGGCAGUGGGUGAGGCAUGGGACAUUUUUGAGAAGGGAAAUAAUAAAAUCAAUGGUAUUGUUGAGGAAGAGUAUUUG
rnacentral:lncRNA from 1 species